rnacentral:rRNA from 1 species
UACAGAGGGUGCGAGCGUUAUCCGGAAUUAUUGGGCGUAAAGAGCUCGUAGGCGGUUUGUCGCGUCUGCUGUGAAAACUGGAGGCUCAACCUCCAGCCUGCAGUGGGUACGGGCAAACUAGAGUGCGGUAGGGGAGAUUGGAAUUCCUGGUGUAGCGGUGGAAUGCGCAGAUAUCAGGAGGAACACCGAUGGCGAAGGCAGAUCUCUGGGCCGUAACUGACGCUGAGGAGCGAAAGCGUGGGGAGCGAACAGG